ensembl:lncRNA
UACUGUAGAAGACACUUUAUUGAAGAGGUGCUGAAACAUGAAAAGUUACCAACUAGGGAAACAAACGAAUCAUAAAAUCUACUGAGGAAACAAUGCAAACCUUAAAAAUAAAAAAAAAAUCACACCCUCCCUCCAAACAAACGAAACACAUUACCCUCCAUCCCUUUAAUGAACAAACACAUUUAACCCCCCAGAUUAUAAUUCCCUUCUAGUUACCAAUCUCCUUAUGUGCGCCUCCCUCCAUCCUGAGCCAGACUCCUGGUUUUGCGUUGAGCUCCACUUAAAUAAUAAAAGAACGCUGGUCAGGAUCCUAGAAGGACGCUGUGGAGUCCACACGGAGGAAAAAUAAACUAAUUUUGGGUGUUUGAGAGCCAUUUGAGUGACUUAGGUCUAGUAUCUAGGUUCCAGUGGGCUGGGCUGUGGCCUGGGGGCUGGUCCCGAUCCUAUGCUCCUGUCCCACUCCGCGUUCUCUCUCCAUCCUUAAUCCUAAUCCCUGCUCUGAUCCUGAAUCCUGAAGGUCUGAUUGGCUCCAGGACGGGGAGACAGAGCCCUCCUCCAAUCACAGCCCUCCUUGAGACAGAUCCCGCACCCAACAGAGAGAAGGAAGGAGCAACAGGUUAGAAUCACUCACAGCCUGCUACAGCCAAUCAGCCACACUAUCACAACCUGCUAGUUAGGGCUUGGCGAUAUGGCCAAAAUAUUAUAUCACGGUGUAAAAACAAUAUAAAAAAAUGGUAUGCCAGUAUUUAAUGUUUUUAAUAAAAGUCCUUAAUUUUCUUUAUGAAUAUUGUUACCAACCUAAUACAUGUGAUUUCAAAUGGGCCUUUCUCCUUUAUACUGUUCAAUUCAACCAAAAACAUUCUCAUAAACUUCUGCGUUUCCUGCACUCAUUUGAGAUCAUUUCCACACUGCCGCGUAAGACUGGCUGCACAAUAUGGGCAAAAAAAAAACUAGGCCUUAUUUUUAACCAAAUGUUGCAAUUGGACUUGCGAUUUAGAGCAAAACACUUGGGGGAACUGUUGAAAUAAAAGGAAAUAAUGAUUAGGCAGGGUUAAUUUUAUAGUUCGGAUAUAAUAGUGGGCACUUUGAAUACUGUGUUUGACAUAAAUGCCAGGAGGAGUUAUUGUGACAGGGUAGGAACCAAAGUGAUGGUCAGUGUUUCCUAUGGGACUCUAAUCUUUGGCUACAUUGAAGGUUCUCUUUAGUUACUUCAUGUAACUAACAUUCACAUGUUCCUCUGAUUUCGAAAAUACUGUUGUACCAACAUGCCAAUUUAGUUCUACACCAUCACUGGUAUUAUCAGGCUGUAUAGCUAGUUACAUUUGCUCUAACUCGGUACAUUUAUUAGCGAGCUAGCAGUUAGCAUUAGCGGCUAACAAGAUUAAGGCCCAAUUUGUUAUGAAAAUACAAAUUUGCAGAUGUAAGAAACAAACUAAUAGUGUAAUUAUAGAACGCUAGUGGAUUUAUAUUAAGAAGCCAAGUGAAAACAGCAUUGUCGUCAUCAACAUUGUUGCACGUUACAUUGACCAUGCAAACUGAACGCGUCUCCUGGUUAGCCAACAUGGUAGUGGUCAGCAUUGACAAUGCAGACUGAAUGCAAGCGUCUCCUGGUCAAGCAACAACAAUUAUGCUCCUUGAGUGACAGGGGGGCGGGGCUAGAAAGUGGCAUGGCGAGAGAUGACCCAAGUAGCCAAGUCGACUAUAAAAACAGACGUUAUACACAGCGUAUCACAUUUAACAAACCAAACGUUCAAAUAUCGUUAUAGAAGGUCAAGUAAAAACCCAAACCGGUCCCUGCAUCAAUAUCUGUGUAUAGUAAAAUACAGUAUACCGCCCAAGUCUAGCUACAGCCAAUCAGCCAUCACAACCUGCUGGCUCUGAAAGCUGUGUUUAAGAGAAGACAUUUACAGAAAACUCACCUCAACAUUAUAACUAAAGUUCUCUGAACCAAGACUAACCAACCACUAAUAACAAUGCCAGACACACACACUAUCCUAUUGAUACUGCCACCUACCUCCACAGACACCGUACCUCCACACACACCCUACCUCCACAGACACCCUACCUCCACAGACACCCUACCUCCACAGACACCCUACCUCCACAGACACACACUGCCAUGCAUGCUACUCUGACCAGAAAUUGUGAAUAGAAAACCAGGGGAGGAUGGGAUUGAGGGAAGGAGAUGUGGCAAAGCACUCUAAUAUGAGAGAGUUAAGAGUAAAGUUAAAACCAGUUCAAUAAUAUCACUGGUCACUAAAACAUCAGGUCUGACAGCUGAUUGGAUGAGAGACUACUGCCGUCAUACCAUUGGCUGGUUGACUCCUCCUGCUCCUCCUGUUAAUCCUAAUAUGAACAGUUUCCUGUUUCCCAGCAGCCUAUCAGCUUGCUCCUGUGAUCUCUACAGAGACACGACAGACAGGUCAGAGGUCAGCACAGCAACACAUCACAGACACCACAACAGGCCAAAGAAAAUACCAUCCCUCCCCCACAUAUUUGAUUUUAUGCCCCCCC